AUUUACGAAGACUUUAUUUCCAUUUUUUCCAUUUCUCAUCAUUUUUUCCUUUCCCUUCUUUCCUUUCCCCUGCCCCUCCCACUAUCCCUACCCCUUUGGACCUUUUCUUCCUAUUUUACAUUAUUGAUUAUUCAUUCUAAUCAUUGGUACAUUUUAGGUAUACAAUAUAAUGACAUUCAUCAUUGGAAAUUUGCACCUUUACAUAAUCUCCUUAUUUUUCACCCUUGCCCAGCCCUCCCUUCAACCCCUCCAUUCCUCCCUAUUUACAAAGAUUUUGUUCCUAUUUUUCCAUUUUCUCAUAUUAAUCCCAUUCCCUUCUAUCCUUUCCCCUAGCCCUCCCACUUCCUUCCCCUUUGCCCCUUUUCUUCCUAUUUCACAUUACCUAUUAUACAUUUUAGUCCUUAUUUACACUUUCAGUUUCUCACACCAGAGAAACUAUUUGGUAUUUAUACAUGUGUGUCCUAUUUAUUUCACUUAAGAGUAUUGCCUCAAUGUGCAUCCACUUAGCUAUAAAUGUCUCUAAUUUCUCAUUUUUUAUGGCUGAGUAGUACUCCA
rnacentral:lncRNA from 1 species